GAGUGAACGCUGGCGGUAGGCCUAACACAUGCAAGUCGAACGGCAGCACAGUAAGAGCUUGCUCUUACGGGUGGCGAGUGGCGGACGGGUGAGGAAUACAUCGGAAUCUACUUUUUCGUGGGGGAUAACGUAGGGAAACUUACGCUAAUACCGCAUACGACCUACGGGUGAAAGCAAGGGAUCUUCGGACCUUGCGCGAUUGAAUGAGCCGAUGUCGGAUUAGCUAGUUGGCGGGGUAAAGGCCCACCAAGGCGACGAUCCGUAGCUGGUCUGAGAGGAUGAUCAGCCACACUGGAACUGAGACACGGUCCAGACUCCUACGGGAGGCAGCAGUGGGGAAUAUUGGACAAAGGGCGCAAGCCUGAUCCAGCCAUACCGCGUGGGUGAAGAAGGCCUUCGGGUUGUAAAGCCCUUUUGUUGGGAAAGAAAAGCAGCAGGUUAAUACCCCGCUGUUCUGACGGUACCCAAAGAAUAAGCACCGGCUAACUUCGUG
rnacentral:rRNA from 1 species